rnacentral:rRNA from 1 species
UCGGGAAUUUUGGGCAAUGGGCGAAAGCCUGACCCAGCAACGCCGCGUGAGGGAUGAAGUAUUUCGGUAUGUAAACCUCGAAAGAAUGGGAAGAAUAAAUGACGGUACCAUUUAUAAGCUCCGGCUAACUACGUGCCAGCAGCCGCGGUAAUACGUAGGGAGCAAGCGUUGUUCGGAUUUACUGGGCGUAAAGGGCGCGUAGGCGGCGCGGUAAGUCACUUGUGAAAUCUCUGAGCUUAACUCAGAACGGCCAAGUGAUACUGCUGUGCUAGAGUGCGGAAGAGGCAACCGGAAUUCUUGGUGUAGCGGUGAAAUGCGUAGAUAUCAAGAGGAACACCUGAGGCGAAGGCGGGUUGCUGGGCCGACACUGACGCUGAUGCGCGAAAGCCAGGGGAGCAAACGG